UACGUAGGAUCCAAGCGUUAUCCGGAUUUAUUGGGUUUAAAGGGAGCGUAGGCGGCCAAUUAAGUCAGGGGUGAAAGACGGUGGCUCAACCAUCGCAGUGCCUUUGAUACUGAUUGGCUUGAAUGUAGUUGAGGUAGGCGGAAUGUGACAAGUAGCGGUGAAAUGCAUAGAUAUGUGGAAGAACACCGAUUGCGAAGGCAGCUUACUAAGCUAUAACUGACGCUGAGGCUCGAAAGCGUGGGGAUCAAACAGG
rnacentral:rRNA from 1 species